rnacentral:lncRNA from 1 species
AUUUGAAAAGCUGGAGCCAGAGCUACAUCAGCUGGGCUGAUGGUCGUCAGCACAACCCCUGACAGCAAGUGCUGUUGCUGGUCCAACAAGGCACCCAUUUUUUCUUGUAUAAGAGCAGUGAGAGGCAUUUUCUAGGAUGAAUCCCUACACAAGGACAACCCUGGUAACCAGUCAGGCUUGGAAUAAGAGAAUAACGUGGUUUUGGUCAAGUAGACAGAUGAGGAAAUGUGUUUGAAAGGAGAAGGCUUGGGGUCAGCCCACAGCAGCAAAGCUUUUUCCAACAUUAAAACUUAAGGACAAGUUUGGGCAGAAAUAUUCCAGUGAGGUCAUUUACUCCAGGUUCUCUGUAUCUCUUUUAGAUGAGAAACUCACAAGAGUUUUCCUAUUACACUUUUUAAAUCCUGCAGGUGAGUAAAACCUAUGUACCUCACUGCUCAAACCUACAGUUACAGCAUUCCUGUUCUCCAGAUGUAUCUUCCUAUUUCUGUGGGCUUCAGAGAGUCACUCAAGGCAGAGCACCAGUCCUACCUUUCAGAAUGGUAUUGUGCCUUGGAUUUGUGGUUUUCUGCAGUCAUUUGAGCGAUGAAAGGUGUCGCAUCCCUUCAACCCCAGAAUUAAGCAGCAAUCUAAGUGCUAAACUGCACAGAAAUUACUGAUUCAGCUCUGAGGAACUACCUUUCUGUAAGAGCCAUGGCAGAAGGGCAAGAUGAGCUCCUGAAGGAGCAACAGGUGUUGUUACGAGAACACGGCUGCAGGUGGAGGCUUCUGCUACAGAACUCAGCCUCGCACCGCCUGCAUUGAGGAACUUGUGAACCCCUCCCACCUGCCAGGCACAGAUGAAAGCCCUGACCCAGAACAAUUUCCUUCCUGUGUGAGCAGCAUGGCUGUGCAGACGUGUCUGUUGUAGAGCUCUGUCAGAAAAGAGUUAACUCUGCACGUAGCGAAGUUAACACUCUGUGAGAACUGCUGCAGCACUCCCAAGGCCAGCAAGCAUGCACAGGAGCCCCAAACAGAGAAGAAGGAUCAAAAUGAGAACUCCGGAGCUUGUGGUUUGCUGCUUUGACUAUUCAAAUAAGCCUAAAUUUUUUAAAUUCACUAAAGGGAGGCACCUUCGGCAGAGGCAUUUAAGCAUUUCAUUCUGAAGGCUGCAUUUCUGAGCCCCGGGAUCUAUAACACAAGUGCUCAGACCCCCAGAAAGUAAAAGGGUGUUUACAUCUCUGGCCCAGGCUCUCCAGCCUGAGCCCACAGGAACUGAGCCCUGUGCUGUCACAGCACUACACAAAAUCUGGUUCAAGAGGGAACAUUUGGCAGCCAUCUGAAAGCACUGUCCUCUAGCCCUUCUCUAUUAUGGCUGGUUUUACAACUACUGUGUCUUUUCACGGCUGAGCUGCUCCUUCUCUGACUUGUGUUUUAUUGCUCUGGGAAUAUUUGAGGAUUGAUGCAUUUAGUCAGUGAAUCAUCUGGGGUUUCUGUUCCUCUGGAGGAAAG